UCCCAGACUCCUACGGGAGGCAGCAGUGGGGGAUAUUGCACAAUGGGGGGAACCCUGAUGCAGCGACGCCGCGUGGGUGAAGGAGUGCUUCGGCAUGUAAAGCCCUAUCGGCAGGGGAGAAGCAAGACGGUACCUGACUAAGAAGCCCCGGCCAACUACGUGCCAGCAGCCGCGGGAAUACGUAGGGGGCAAGCGUUAUCCGGAAUUAUUGGGUGUAAAGGGUGCGUAGACGGGACAGCAAGUUAGUUGUGAAAGCCCUCGGCUUAACUGAGGAACUGCAACUAAAACUAUUGUUCUUGAGUGCAGGAGAGGAAAGCGGAAUUCCUAGUGUAGCGGUGAAAUGCGUAGAUAUUAGGAGGAACACCAGUGGCGAAGGCGGCUUUCUGGACUGUAACUGACGUUGAGGCACGAAAGUGUGGGGAGCAAACAGGAUUAGAUACCCGCGUAC
rnacentral:rRNA from 1 species